AACGCACGAGACCUGCGGACCUGCGGAAGGAUCAUCGAAGAAUUAUUUCCAAUUAUAAAAAAGAGGAGGGAGGGGAAAAAGGGGGAGGAACUCUCUCUAUGGGGGGCCUUCCCACUCUCUUUCUUUCUCCUUUUUUUAUAAACAAACAAACGAUCGCAACAACAACUAUAAAAAGGAUAAUUUGGUUUGAAUGAAUGAAUGUUUGUGAAGGAAAAAAGUGUUUGCCUGAUAUUCAUUUAU
rnacentral:misc_RNA from 1 species